rnacentral:rRNA from 1 species
GAUGAACGCUGGCGGCGUGCCUAAUACAUGCAAGUCGAGCGAACAGACGAGGAGCUUGCUCCUCUGACGUUAGCGGCGGACGGGUGAGUAACACGUGGAUAACCUACCUAUAAGACUGGGAUAACUUCGGGAAACCGUAGCUAAUACCGGAUAAUAUAUUGAACCGCAUGGUUCAAUAGUGAAAGACGGUUUUGCUGUCACUUAUAGAUUGAUCCGCGCCGCAUUAGCUAGUUGGUAAGGUAACGGCUUACCAAGGCAACGAUGCGUAGCCGACCUGAGAGGGUGAUCGGCCACACUGGAAGAGAGAAACGGUCCAGACUCCUACGGGAGGCAGCAGUAGGGAAUCUUCCGCAAGGAGCGAAAGCCUGACGGAGAAAAGCCGCGUGAGUGAUGAAGGUCUUAGGAUCGUAAAACUCUGUUAUUAGGGAAGAACAAAUGUGUAAGUAACUAGGAACGUCAUGACGGUACCUAAUCAGAAAGCCACGGCUAACUACGUG